rnacentral:rRNA from 1 species
AUUGAACGCUGGCGGCAGGCCUAACACAUGCAAGUCGAACGGUAGCAACAGAGAGCUUGNUCUUGGGUGACGAGUGGCGGACGGGUGAGUAAUGUCUGGGAAACUGCCCGAUGGAGGGGGAUAACUACUGGAAACGGUAGCUAAUACCGCAUAANGUNUUCGGACCAAAGUGGGGGACCUUCGGGCCUCACACCAUCGGAUGUGCCCAGAUGGGAUUAGCUAGUAGGUGGGGUAAUGGCUCACCUAGGCGACGAUCCCUAGCUGGUCUGAGAGGAUGACCAGCCACACUGGAACUGAGACACGGUCCAGACUCCUACGGGAGGCAGCAGUGGGGAAUAUUGCACAAUGGGCGCAAGCCUGAUGCAGCCAUGCCGCGUGUAUGAAGAAGGCCUUCGGGUUGUAAAGUACUUUCAGCGGGGAGGAAGGCGAUAAGGUUAAUAACCUUGUCGAUUGACGUUACCCGCAGAAGAAGCACCGGCU